rnacentral:lncRNA from 1 species
UCAUAUAGGCUAAGUGAUUCCUUAGUAGUGGUGAGGAGGAGGAGGAGGUGAAGUGUAGUAAUAAUGGGUCGGUGGUGGUGGUGACUUGUGAACCGGUGGUGGUGGGGAUUUGUACUUGUAAACUGGUGGUGGUGGCGGUGGUGAUUUGUAGUGGUAAGGAGGGGGAGGGGAGUGCAUCGGCGGAGGUGGUGGUGAUUUGUAGUGGUAAGGAGGAGGUGGUGAAUGCACCGGAGGUGGUGGUGGUGGUGAUUUGUAGUGGUAAGGAGGAGGUGGUGAAUGCACUGGAGGAGGCGGUGGUGGUGAUUUAAAGUGGUAAGGAGGAGGUGGAGAGUGCACCGGUGGUGGUGGUGAUUUAAAGUGGUAAGGAGGAGGUGGAGAGUGCACCGGUGGUGGUGGUGAUUUAAAGUGGUAAGGAGGAGGUGGAGAGUGCACCGGUGGUGGUGGUGAUUUAAAGUGGUAAGGAGGAGGUGGAGAGUGCACCGGUGGUGGUGGUGAUUUAAAGUGGUAAGGAGGAGGUGGAGAGUGCACCGGUGGUGGUGGUGAUUUAAAGUGGUAAGGAGGAGGUGGAGAGUGCACCGGUGGUGGUGGUGAUUUAAAGUGGUAAGGAGGAGGUGGAGAGUGCACCGGUGGUGGUGGUGAUUUAAAGUGGUAAGGAGGAGGUGGAGAGUGCACCGGUGGUGGUGGUGAUUUAAAGUGGUAAGGAGGAGGUGGAGAGUGCACCGGUGGUGGUGGUGAUUUAAAGUGGUAAGGAGGAGGUGGAGAGUGCACCGGUGGUGGUGGUGAUUUAAAGUGGUAAGGAGGAGGUGGAGAGUGCAGUGGAGGUGGUGGUGGUGAGUGCACCGGAGGUGGCGGUGGUGGUGACUUGUAGUGGUAAGGUGGUGGUGGUGAGUGCACCGGAGGAGGAGGUGGUGGUGGUGAUUUGUACUUGUAAGGAGGAGGAGGUGGUGGUGGGGAUUUCUUAGGAGGUGGAGGAGAGGAGUAAGAGUAAUCUGCUGUGGUUUCUGAUGGCAAGUUGAGAGACACUAAUACCACUAGAAAAGUUAGAAUGAGAGAGGCCAUUUUGGACCCCUUGGAUUUUCUUCCCAUCUGUACUACAAAUGUAGUUUCUUUGUUGUGCUAUUAAGCAACCUUUU